CUCAAUGCGUCUGCAAUUCGCACUAUUUAUCGCAGCUAGCUGCGUUCUUCAUCGAUCCAUGAGCCAAGUGAUCCACCGCUAAGAGUUAAAAAAAAUUUUAUUGUUAUUACUAUAAUAUAUGUAUAACUUUUUUGUAUGUUUUUUUUUUUUUUUUUUUUUUGUUGGUAGCAUAUCUAGCAUAAAUGCUUAUUAAGUCUACUUAAUUAAAUGGUAAAAUU
rnacentral:rRNA from 1 species